CUUUCUUGAAUUACUCUUUGGGCAAUAACUGGCUGUGAAGGACCAAAGAAUGACCCAUAAUUAUCGGAAGGAAGUUUUUUCUUUAUCUCGUGGGAUUUGCAAACAGAAGAACCAUUUUCCCUUUGCAUUUUCUUCCUAAUUUUCUCUUUAAUUCGUGCUCUUAAUUCAAGAUAUUCAAGUUCCUCUGCACUUGGCUUUCGCUCUUUUUCCUCCUCAUAUUCCGCCUCCUCCUCGCCUUCUUCCUCUUCCUCAUAUCCUUCCUCCUCAUAUUCAUCAUANNNCCUCAUCUCUUUCAUAUCCCCGCAUUGCAGUUUAUUAUCUCCACUGCAAUCAAUGCAGAGUUGCUCCUUACAACUACUGGAUGCCUCAAAUUUUCUCCAAAUUCGAUGAAAUCGGAUUGAAAUUUAGCGAUUUUUUACCGCGAAACCAGACGCAGACCUCGAAAGAAACCGAGACGAACCCAAACGCGAAGAGACAGAGAAAAAGCAAUCCCUUAGAUCUAUAUGGCAAAGAGACGGCGACCAAGGGAAAGGGAGACUGUGAGUUUAGGUUAUCGGGGAUAAAGA
rnacentral:misc_RNA from 1 species